rnacentral:rRNA from 1 species
GACGAACGCUGGCGGCGUGCCUAAUACAUGCAAGUCGAACGAGAGCAACCGGUGCUUGCACUGGUCAAUCUAGUGGCGAACGGGUGAGUAACACGUGGGUAACCUGCCCAUCAGAGGGGGAUAACAUCCGGAAACGGAUGCUAAAACCGCAUAGGUCUUCGAACCGCAUGGUUUGAAGAGGAAAAGAGGCGCAAGCUUCUGCUGAUGGAUGGACCCGCGGUGCAUUAGCUAGUUGGUGAGGUAACGGCUCACCAAGGCCGUGAUGCAUAGCCGACCUGAGAGGGUGAUCGGCCACAUUGGGACUGAGACACGGCCCAAACUCCUACGGGAGGCAGCAGUAGGGAAUCUUCCGCAAUGGACGCAAGUCUGACGGAGCAACGCCGCGUGAGUGAAGAAGGUUUUCGGAUCGUAAAACUCUGUUGUUAGAGAAGAACAAGUGCUAGAGUAACUGUUAGCGCCUUGACGGUAUCUAACCAGAAAGCCACAGCUAACUACGUG